rnacentral:rRNA from 1 species
UAGGGAAUCUUCGGCAAUGGGGGGAACCCUGACCGAGCAACGCCGCGUGAGUGAAGAAGGUUUUCGGAUCGUAAAGCUCUGUUGUUAAGGAAGAACGAGUGUGAGAAUGGAAAGUUCAUGCUGUGACGGUACUUAACCAGAAAGGGACGGCUAACUACGUGCCAGCAGCCGCGGUAAUACGUAGGUCCCGAGCGUUGUCCGGAUUUAUUGGGCGUAAAGCGAGCGCAGGCGGUUAGAAAAGUCUGAAGUGAAAGGCAGUGGCUCAACCAUUGUAGGCUUUAGAAACUCUUUAACGUGAGUGCAGAAGGGGAGAGUGGAAUUCCAUGUGUAGCGGUGAAAUGCGUAGAUAUAUGGAGGAACACCGGUGGCGAAAGCGCAUCUCUGGACUGUAACUGACGCUGAGGCUCGAAAGCGUGGGGAGCGAACAGG